rnacentral:rRNA from 1 species
AAUCAACGCUGGCGGCGUGCCUCAGACAUGCAAGUCGAACGAGAAGGCUCCUUCGGGAGCCGGAAAGUGGCGCACGGGUGAGUAACACGUGGGUAAUUUACCUUCGGGUGGGGAACAACAGCCGGAAACGGCUGCUAAUACCGCAUAACGUAGCGGCACCUAAUGGUGACAGUUGUUAAAGCGGGGGAGUCGCAAGACCUCGCGCCUGAAGAGAAGCCUGCGGCAGAUUAGGUAGUUGGGAGGUAAUGGCUCACCAAGCCCGCGAUCUGUAGCCGGCCUGAGGAGGGCGGUCGGCCACACUGACACUGAACAACGGGUCAGACUCCUACGGGAGGCAGCAGUCGGGAAUUUUGGGCAAUGGGCGCAAGCCUGACCCAGCAACGCCGCGUGAAGGAUGAAGUUUUUCGGUAAUAG